rnacentral:rRNA from 1 species
AUUGAACGCUGGCGGCAUGCCUUACACAUGCAAGUCGAACGGCAGCACGGGUGCUUGCACCUGGUGGCGAGUGGCGAACGGGUGAGUAAUACAUCGGAACGUACCUUAUCGUGGGGGAUAACGCAGCGAAAGCUGUGCUAAUACCGCAUACGCCCUGAGGGGGAAAGCGGGGGAUCGCAAGACCUCGCGCGAUUAGAGCGGCCGAUGCCUGAUUAGCUUGUUGGUGGGGUAAAAGCCCACCAAGGCGACGAUCAGUAGCUGGUCUGAGAGGACGAUCAGCAACACUGGGACUGAGACACGGCCCAGACUCCUACGGGAGGCAGCAGUGGGGAAUUUUGGACAAUGGGGGCAACCCUGAUCCAGCAAUGCCGCGUGAGUGAAGAAGGCCUUCGGGUUGUAAAACUCUUUUGUCAGGGAAGAAACACCGGCUCUAACACAGUCCGGGAAUGACGGUACCUGAAGAAUAAGCACCGGCUAACUACGUGCCAGCCGCCGCGGUAA